rnacentral:rRNA from 1 species
GACGAACGCUGGCGGCGUGCUUAACACAUGCAAGUCGAACGGAAAGGCCCUGCUUUUGUGGGGUGCUCGAGUGGCGAACGGGUGAGUAACACGUGAGUAACCUGCCCUUGACUUUGGGAUAACUUCAGGAAACUGGGGCUAAUACCGGAUAGGAGCUCCUGCUGCAUGGUGGGGGUUGGAAAGUUUCGGCGGUUGGGGAUGGACUCGCGGCUUAUCAGCUUGUUGGUGGGGUAGUGGCUUACCAAGGCUUUGACGGGUAGCCGGCCUGGGAGGGUGACCGGCCACAUUGGGACUGAGUUACGGCCCAGACUCCUACGGGAGGCAGCAGUGGGGAAUAUUGCACAAUGGGCGGAAGCCUGAUGCAGCAACGCCGCGUGCGGGAUGACGGCCUUCGGGUUGUAAACCGCUUUCGCCUGUGACGAAGCGUGAGUGACGGUAAUGGGUAAAGAAGCACCGGCUAACUACGUG